AUCUUCCGCAAUGGACGCAAGUCUGACGGAGCAACGCCGCGUGAGUGAGGAAGGCCUUCGGGUCGUAAAGCUCUGUUGCCCUAGACGAACGCAUGAAGGAGUAACUGCCUUCGUGGUGACGGUAUAGGAGAAGAAAGCCCCGGCUAACUACGUGCCAGCAGCCGCGGUAAUACGUAGGGGGCAAGCGUUGUCCGGAAUUAUUGGGCGUAAAGCGCGCGCAGGCGGCCGCUUAAGUCUGGAGUAUAAGCCCGGGGCUCAACCCCGGAUCGCUCCGGAAACUGGGUGGCUUGAGUGCAGGAGAGGGAAGCGGAAUUCCACGUGUAGCGGUGAAAUGCGUAGAGAUGUGGAGGAACACCAGUGGCGAAGGCGGCUUCCUGGCCUGUAACUGACGCUGAGGCGCGAAAGCGUGGGGAGCAAACAGG
rnacentral:rRNA from 1 species